rnacentral:rRNA from 1 species
UACGAAGGGGGCUAGCGUUGCUCGGAAUCACUGGGCGUAAAGGGUGCGUAGGCGGGUCUCUAAGUCAGGGGUGAAAUCCUGGAGCUCAACUCCAGAACUGCCUUUGAUACUGAGGAUCUUGAGUUCGGGAGAGGUGAGUGGAACUGCGAGUGUAGAGGUGAAAUUCGUAGAUAUUCGCAAGAACACCAGUGGCGAAGGCGGCUCACUGGCCCGAUACUGACGCUGAGGCACGAAAGCGUGGGGAGCAAACAGG